AGGGCAAGUCUGGUGCCAGCAGCCGCGGUAAUUCCAGCUCCAAUAGCGUAUAUUAAAGUUGUUGCAGUUAAAAAGCUCGUAGUUGAAUUUCGGGAUUGACGUGAUGGUCAUGCCUUAAGGGGUAUGAACUGUUACAGUUGAUUUCUCACCUUCUGGAAAAACUUGAUGUCCUUUAUUGGGUGUCUUGCAGAUCCAGGACCUUUACCUUGAAAAAAUUAAAGUGUUUAAAGCAGGCAUUUUUGCUCGAAUACAUUAGCAUGGAAUAAUAGAAUAGGACGGCAUGGUUCUAUUUUGUUGGUUUCUAGGAUCACCGUAAUGAUUAAUAGGGAUAGUUGGGGGCAUUAGUAUUCAAUUGUCAGAGGUGAAAUUCUUGGAUUUAUUGAAGACUAACUACUGCGAAAGCAUUUGCCAAGGAUGUUUUCAUUAAUCAGAACGAAAGUUAGGGGAUCGAAGACGAUCAGAUACCGUCGUAGUCUUAACCAUAAACUAUGCCGACUAGGAAUCAGACGAUGUUAAUUUUUUAAUGACUCGUUCGGCGCCUUACGGGAAACA
rnacentral:rRNA from 1 species